rnacentral:rRNA from 1 species
GUUCCAGCAGCCGCGGUAAUACGGAGGGUGCGAGCGUUGUUCGGAAUUACUGGGCGUAAAGCGCGUGUAGGCGGCCUUGUAAGUCAGAUGUGAAAGCCCUCGGCUUAACCGGGGAAGUGCAUCUGAAACUGCUUGGCUUGAGUACCGGAGAGGGAGGCGGAAUUCCCAGUGUAGAGGUGAAAUUCGUAGAUAUUGGGAGGAACACCGGUGGCGAAAGCGGCCUCCUGGACGGAUACUGACGCUGAGACGCGAAAGCGUGGGGAGCAAACAGGAUUAGAAACCCCUGUAGUCC